AUGGGGCAGGAAAUAGAAGGGAAGGAGAAGGUCAGAGACGCUUUGCUUGUGAGGCCCUUAAUGGCCCCAGACCCAAGUACUCAGCACGCCAAGGUCACAUGUGGAGCCCUAGCAGCAAGCAGGAGGCACUCGGUGCCUGACGGAAUCGACACGCAAUCCUCCCCCAACAGAGACAACACCCCAGGCCUGAAAGCAGCUCCGUGUCCAGCCAUGAAACAUAAACAGGCAACAUGGAGGGAGAAGACAGCGAGGGUGAGGGUCAGCAGGAGCCACUGGCAGCAGGAACUCCGGGUGCUGGAAUUCCCAGACGAUAAACCAGCUGUGCUCGCUAUGUUUUUGGAAACAAAAGAGGCCCAGACGAAGUCGCACCUCGACAGGCGUCUCCAUGGCCACUGAGGCGAAAGAAGGAGCUCCACGGGAAGACUCAGCCCUGCCGUCUGCCCAGAGGGGAGCCGAAGGUAUCUGGUGAACAACACUGAGGCACACCACAUCCAGGCACCUGCGAGGUACUUGGAAGCCUGCCCUUCCUGCAAGCAAAGCACACCCGCUUCCUCCAAGGCAACCAUCCCGGCGUCCUCCAGCUACAUGAAGGUCAAACGUACACAAGUUGCCGCAUCCAUCCCAAGCUGGAGGGCUCUGAGUUAAAAAGAUGAAGGGUUUGCUGCCCACGCCCCCGGUAUUCAACCAAGGAGCAGGGACAGGGGCUUCCAGGGUCUGGUUUGGAAGGGGAAGAAGGCAGACCCCAGCAGUCAGGCUCUGCAGUGGCUCCAAAGUCCCAUCGGGUGGCUGGGGGAGGACCCCAACCCCGGGGAGCAAUUUCCUGGAAGAGAUGUGGGCUGUGGUCGGUGGAGGGGACACCUCCCAUCCCCACGGUCCUCUGUGGCCCCACCAGCGUGGGUGCUGGAGAGCCGAGUGGCUUCCUCAGCUCCCUUCUUGCCUGUAGAGACGUGGGGAGCCCAAGGGCUACUUUGAGUCUCAGGCUGUCACAGUCUUUGGAUCCAGCCUGUGUUUUUAGGACAGUGCAACUCUUUCAAAUCUUUGAUCAACUUUCUUUUUCUUUUUCUUUUUUUUGAGGCAGGUGUCGCAGGCGUCCUUGUGAAGAGACCACCAACCAGGCUUUGUGUGAUCAAUAAAACUUUUUAAUCACCUGGGUGCAGGCGGGCUGAGUUCGAAAAAUGAGUCAGCAAAG
rnacentral:lncRNA from 1 species